ACGCAGCUGUGCUGAGGCGUUCCGGCAAUGUCCAGAGCGCUGUAGCGUCAGCAGGGGGCGGUGUUUGCUGGUGUGAAACGGGAAGUGGGUGGUGUGGUGUGAUGGAGAGCUGAGCCCCGACCGGCGACCAUAAACGGCAUACGGAACUGUUCAGUGACAAUGGACUUAGCAAAGUUUUGUGCGUUAUGACACUAAACUAUGCUAUCUGCAGAGAGAACGCAAUAAUUCCAAGCGCUCUGGUACAGCCAGUCGUAUACGGGCCUGAUAAAUGUGUACAUAAACAGCCUUUGCCUUAACCGCGUGGAGUGGGUUCGGUUGCAUUCGCUCAGUUGCAUUAUGGUUAAAUUAAAGCAGCCUGGUAACACGACAUACCUUUUGAAAGUGUUAAAACUCACGGUUCUAUCUCUAUAACGCAUUUUACGGUGGCAAAGAUUCAGCGAAAACGGUCCCUUAUCUUCUAACAUGUGGGACGCCAAAAAAGGCUUGGGGGUUCCUCACCUUCAGUGCGUUUUGGAAAUCCACGGACGACAAGAUCACGUCUUCCAGACCUGCUGCUGCCAGAGGUAGCAAGGGGAGAGCAAGGGGAGGGUGGUGGAGAGUGGCAGGGGCAGGGAAAGUGAGAAUUUCCGCAAACGUCUUCAACUAGCACAUAGUAUACAAUGUAUUUUACAUCUAUAAACACCCAUAAUAUCAUUUGGUAACCAAGUGUUCUUUUUGAGUCUCCAAAUGGACUUUUUGGAAACCUGGCUAGACAUAGCUGAGGAAAAAAACAAUGCAGAGUGCAAAUUUUUGGUGGUAUUCAAUUUUGAACCAGGAUUUGCCCAAUGGUGUGGGUGUGGCUUCAUUGUAUUUUUAAACCCACCUGGCAUUUGUAUCCAUUCCACAAAAAAAUAAAAAAUAAAAUAAUAAUCUUUCAGGUGAGAGAAAAUACUUCCACUGUGUUUGAGCUUCUAUUACUUUUUGAUGUAUUAUUUUUUUAAGAGCAAUUCUGACUUUUUGAAAACAAGCUCCCAAGGGUUACCUUUCAGCAGAGCCAGGAUUAUGCCUGUAGUCAAAAGGGCUCAAUGACAGUAGCCAUUUUAUUGUGAAAAAAAGGUGUGAUGCAGGAGGUGUUAUACUGCUCUGUAUUCUCCCUUGUAUCUCAUUUCCUGUCUCUAACUGCACGCUCAUCUCGUGUGUAGAUCAUGUUCUUCAUUACUUUCUCCUCUCAUUGUGUUGUCACAUUGCUGUAGGCUACAAUCAUAACCACGAUAUAAUAAAUAAUUGAAAACAAGCAAACAAAAAAAUGCAUAAAUAAAUAUACUAAUUCCAGAAAGGUAUACACUAUACAUGAGUGAAUGUGCAGGUUUGUGUCUGUGAGUACUUUUGAAGUGUUUGUUUUUAACCUGGUUCCUGAGAAGUAGCUUAAACAAGUGUCUGACCACGGCUCUAUUAAAAGAAUGAGACUCAUCCGCCAACAAAACCAGCCAGAAUUGCAGGGCUGUACCUGUUUGAGAAAGAGCAGGGAAGAGAAAGCUCAACAUGUGUGAGUUCACAACAACAGUUGGACUAGUUUUCCUGGUUUUCUUUGUACAAGCCGCAG